rnacentral:rRNA from 1 species
CCUACGGGGGGCAGCAGUGGGGAAUAUUGGACAAUGGGGGGAACCCUGAUCCAGCCAUGCCGCGUGUGUGAAGAAGGCCCUCGGGUUGUAAAGCACUUUCAGUGAGGAAGAACGCCUGGUGGUUAAUACCCAUCAGGAAAGACAUCACUCACAGAAGAAGCACCGGCUAACUCCGUGCCAGCAGCCGCGGUAAUACGGAGGGUGCGAGCGUUAAUCGGAAUUACUGGGCGUAAAGCGCGCGUAGGUGGCUUGAUAAGCCGGUUGUGAAAGCCCCGGGCUCAACCUGGGAAUGGCAUCCGGAACUGUCAAGCUAGAGUGCAGGAGAGGAAGGUAGAAUUCCCGGUGUAGCGGUGAAAUGCGUAGAGAUCGGGAGGAAUACCAGUGGCGAAGGCGGCCUUCUGGACUGACACUGACACUGAGGUGCGAAAGCGUGGGUAGCAAACAGGAUUAGAUACCCCGGUAGUC